rnacentral:rRNA from 1 species
GACGAACGCUGGCGGCGUGCUUAACACAUGCAAGUCGAACGGAAAGGCCCUGCUUUUGUGGGGUGCUCGAGUGGCGAACGGGUGAGUAACACGUGAGUAACCUGCCCUUGACUUUGGGAUAACUUCAGGAAACUGGGGCUAAUACCGGAUAGGAGCUCCUGCUGCAUGGUGGGGGUUGGAAAGUUUCGGCGGUUGGGGAUGGACUCGCGGCUUAUCAGCUUGUUGGUGGGGUAGUGGCUUACCAAGGCUUUGACGGGUAGCCGGCCUGAGAGGGUGACCGGCCACAUUGGGACUGAGAUACGGCCCAGACUCCUACGGGAGGCAGCAGUGGGGAAUAUUGCACAAUGGGCGGAAGCCUGAUGCAGCAACGCCGCGUGCGGGAUGACGGCCUUCGGGUUGUAAACCGCUUUCGCCUGUGACGAAGCGUGAGUGACGGUAAUGGGUAAAGAAGCACCGGCUAACUACGUGCCAGCAGCCGCGGUGAUACGUAGGGUGCGAGCGUUGUCCGGAUUUAUUGGGCGUAAAGGGCUCGUAGGUGGUUGAUCGCGUCGGAAGUGUAAUCUUGGGGCUUAACCCUGAGCGUGCUUUCGAUACGGGUUGACUUGAGGAAGGUAGGGGAGAAUGGAAUUCCUGGUGGAGCGGUGGAAUGCGCAGAUAUCAGGAGGAACACCAGUGGCGAAGGCGGUUCUCUGGGCCUUUCCUGACGCUGAGGAGCGAAAGCGUGGGGAGCGAACAGGCUUAGAUACCCUGGUAGUCCACGCUGUAAACGGUGGGUACUAGGUGUGGGGUCCAUUCCACGGGUUCCGUGCCGUAGCUAACGCUUUAAGUACCCCGCCUGGGGAGUACGGCCGCAAGGCUAAAACUCAAAGGAAUUGACGGGGCCCCGCACAAGCGGCGGAGCAUGCGGAUUAAUUCGAUGCAACGCGUAGAACCUUACCUGGGUUUGACAUGGAUCGGGAGCGCUCAGAGAUGGGUGUGCCUCUUUUGGGGUCGGUUCACAGGUGGUGCAUGGCUGUCGUCAGCUCGUGUCGUGAGAUGUUGGGUUAAGUCCCGCAACGAGCGCAACCCUUGUUCACUGUUGCCAGCACGUUAUGGUGGGGACUCAGUGGAGACCGCCGGGGUCAACUCGGAGGAAGGUGGGGAUGACGUCAAGUCAUCAUGCCCCUUAUGUCCAGGGCUUCACGCAUGCUACAAUGGCUGGUACAGAGAGUGGCGAGCCUGUGAGGGUGAGCGAAUCUCGGAAAGCCGGUCUCAAUUCGGAUUGGGGUCUGCAACUCGACCUCAUGAAGUCGGAGUCGCUAGUAAUCGCAGAUCAGCAACGCUGCGGUGAAUACGUUCCCGGGGCU